rnacentral:rRNA from 1 species
ACGAACGCUGGCGGCGUGCUUAACACAUGCAAGUCGAACGGAAAGGCCCUGCUUUUGUGGGGUGCUCGAGUGGCGAACGGGUGAGUAACACGUGAGUAACCUGCCCUUGACUUUGGGAUAACUUCAGGAAACUGGGGCUAAUACCGGAUAGGAGCUCCUGCUGCAUGGUGGGGGUUAGAAAGUUUCGGCGGUUGGGGAUGGACUCGCGGCUUAUCAGCUUGUUGGUGGGGUAGUGGCUUACCAAGGCUUUGACGGGUAGCCGGCCUGAGAGGGUGACCGGCCACAUUGGGACUGAGAUACGGCCCAGACUCCUACGGGAGGCAGCAGUGGGGAAUAUUGCACAAUGGGCGGAAGCCUGAUGCAGCAACGCCGCGUGCGGGAUGACGGCCUUCGGGUUGUAAACCGCUUUCGCCUGUGACGAAGCGUGAGUGACGGUAAUGGGUAAAGAAGCACCAGCUAACUACGUG